AUCAAAGGAAAUCAAAACCAUUAAAGGGUUGGAAAAGAUGAGAUCGUGUGACUUUGAACUAAAGUUGCAAGGAAGCCUGUUUUCAUUAUUGCGCAAUGUAGAAAGAUAUUCAAAGAACGGACCACCUUUCAAUGCCAAAUAUGAUCUUCCAGGAGCCACGCUCUGAAUUACAUUGAAGAGGCGUGAUUUCGUAUUCCUGCACAGAAGACGUUCAGGAUGGUUGUGAGAAAAAGAAAAACCAGCUCACGGAGAUCAGGUGUGAGAAGAUUUGCUUCAACAGGGAUUAUGAAAACUGAAUCAGCAAGCUAUAUUGUCAGUUAAUUAAAGAAUGCUGAUUCUGAUUUGGCAAAAUUGAAAAGUAUUUUUAUGUUAAAUCACCGUUACCAUUUACAGGUUUUUUGUAUGAUACUUCGUUCAGUCAUCUUAGGUACUUGCUUCAUUAGUCAAAUAGGAUUCUAAGUUUCUCGUGCUAAUUAGGUCGUUUAGGUCAGCAUAAUACUGCAGCUUGUAUCCCAUAUUUUUCAGUGAGACCAAUAUCGAAAUCUUCAUUAGUAUCA